ACGUGGGUGAUCUGCCCUGCACUCUGGGAUAAGCCUGGGAAACUGGGUCUAAUACCGGAUAGGACCAUGCUUUAGUGUGUGUGGUGGAAAGUUUUUCGGUGUAGGAUGAGCCCGCGGCCUAUCAGCUUGUUGGUGGGGUAAUGGCCUACCAAGGCGGCGACGGGUAGCCGGACUGAGAGGUUGGUCGGCCACAUUGGGACUGAGAUACGGCCCAG
rnacentral:rRNA from 1 species